AUUAACUUGUGCUUGCUUCCGCAGCACAUACCAAUAUACAAAAAAAUUGGAACGAUACAGAGAAGAUUAGCAUGGCCCCUGCGCAAGAAGGACACUCAAAUUUUGUGAAGCAUUCCAUAUUUAA
rnacentral:snRNA from 1 species